AUUGAACGCUGGCGGCAUGCUUUACACAUGCAAGUCGAACGGCCGCGCGGGCUUCGGCCUGGCGGCGAGUGGCGAACGGGUGAGUAAUGCAUCGGAACUUGCCCCGUCGUCGGGGAUAGCCCGGCGAAAGCCGGAUUAAUACCGCAUACGACCUGAGGGUGAUAGCGGGGGACCGACAGGCCUCGCGCUAUUUGAGCGGCCGAAGUCGGAUUAAGGAGUUGGUGGGGUAAAGGCUUACCAAGGCGACGAUCCGUACCUGGUCUGAGAGGCCGACCAGCCACACUGGGACUGAGACACGGCCCAGACGCCUACGGGAGGCAGCAGUGGGGAAUUUUGGAGAAUGGGGGCAACCCUGAUCCAGCAAGGGCGCGUGCGGGAAGAAGGCCUUCGGGGUGUAAACAGCUUGUGUUCGGGAAGAAAUCCUCUGGGCUAAGACACCGGGGGGAUGACGGUACCGGAAGAAUAAGCACCGGCUAACUACGUG
rnacentral:rRNA from 1 species